UACCUCUCAACCCCGCCCCAUUCUUUGUGAAUGGGGUAGAUUAGGGCUUGGAUCAUGAUGCGUGCGAUUGAUUUCGCUGCAUUGAAAUACAACAAGCUGGAUCCUUAUCUUGCGGCUUGACCUGUUGUUGUAACUUGAAAAUCAAUGGGAACGCAAUUUUAGAGGAAGGGGCUUACCAGAAACGUCUGCUACAGACACAAGUGCA
rnacentral:misc_RNA from 1 species